rnacentral:rRNA from 1 species
AUUGAACGCUGGCGGCAUGCCUUACACAUGCAAGUCGAACGGUAACAGGUCUUCGGACGCUGACGAGUGGCGAACGGGUGAGAAAUACAUCGGAACGUGCCCGAUCGUGGGGGAUAACGAGGCGAAAGCUUUGCUAAUACCGCAUACGAUCUACGGAUGAAAGCGGGGGAUCUUCGGACCUCGCGCGGACGGAGCGGCCGAUGGCAGAUUAGGUAGUUGGUGGGAUAAAAGCUUACCAAGCCGACGAUCUGUAGCUGGUCUGAGAGGAUGAUCAGCCACACUGGGACUGAGACACGGCCCAGACUCCUACGGGAGGCAGCAGUGGGGAAUUUUGGACAAUGGGCGAAAGCCUGAUCCAGCCAUGCCGCGUGCAGGAUGAAGGCCUUCGGGUUGUAAACUGCUUUUGUACGGAACGAAAAGCCUCUUUCUAAUAAAGAGGGGUCAUGACGGUACCGGAAGAAUAAGCACCGGCUAACUACGUG